rnacentral:rRNA from 1 species
CACUGAAUGAGAUUUUAACACGAAGUGAGUGGCGGACGGGUGAGUAACACGUGGGUAACCUGCCCAGAAGCAGGGGAUAACACCUGGAAACAGAUGCUAAUACCGUAUAACAGAGAAAACCGCCUGGUUUUCUUUUAAAAGAUGGCUCUGCUAUCACUUCUGGAUGGACCCGCGGCGCAUUAGCUAGUUGGUGAGGUAACGGCUCACCAAGGCGAUGAUGCGUAGCCGACCUGAGAGGGUAAUCGGCCACAUUGGGACUGAGACACGGCCCAGACUCCUACGGGAGGCAGCAGUAGGGAAUCUUCCACAAUGGACGCAAGUCUGAUGGAGCAACGCCGCGUGAGUGAAGAAGGGUUUCGGCUCGUAAAGCUCUGUUGUUAAAGAAGAACGUGGGUGAGAGUAACUGUUCACCCAGUGACGGUAUUUAACCAGAAAGCCACGGCUAACUACGUGCCAGCAGCCGCGGUAAUACGUAGGUGGCAAGCGUUAUCCGGAUUUAUUGGGCGUAAAGCGAGCGCAGCGGUCUUUUAAGUCUAAUGUGA